UCAAGGACUUGAGGCCUCCAAAUGUGGGUCGCGCUAACCCCUACGCCACCACGGCACGCCCUGUAUUUCCUUUUAACCUCAGUCCAGUUUCAGAAGGGAAGGAGUUUAGUUUGAUAUUUCAGUAAUGUGACAACUCUUUACUCUAGAAGUUGCACUGUCUCACCUCCGUUUGAUGCUCUGCAGAAUGAAGUGUGAGUUAAAGGGCUCCGCUACAGCACCUGAAUAAUGAAGGUUAAUGUCACGGCAUCAUUGAAUCACCUUUGAAGUGAUGCUAAAUGCGAUUAGAAGAGAUCACAAGUGCACUUUGGGUUCAUAGAAAGAGACUCAUACUGUUGGGGAGUGUUCUCCUUCUCCAUGACUUCUCUAACUGACUACUGGUCCCUGUGCGAUGAUUAGCCGCCUCCCCGGGGGAAGGGAGAGUUAGCAGAAGCAAACUCACUCUAAUGAGCUGAGCUCUUCUCCUCUCUUUCUCCACUACAACCCCAUCCCUCCUUCUCCUCCCCCGCCGAGGACUAGGGGGUCGUCGGGUGGUCCCGGGAGGGGGUCCGCAGCACACCUGUUCUCUUUCCACCCCACCCUCCUGUAAUCAGUGCAUUUCUGUACUUUUUCAGUGAUGAAGGAGAUGUUGUUCCUCUACCCACUGGGACCACAGACAUUGUUUUUGCGUAAUUUUUAUGCUUACAGCUCUCUGUCUCUGAUAUGGACUCUGUAUUUACUCUUCUUUUAGAUUUUAUAGCAUACUUAUAACAACAAAGCAGUUAAAAUUGUUUGAGCUGAGUAGGGACAAGACAAGUCACAAAAGGCCACCUGGCUUCAGGCAGCCCUACCCAUUUGGUUCCCAGGACAACACUUUCCUUCUGUUAAUGAGAGCACAUUUUUUGUUUACAUACGGACCUUAGGUCACUGACGACAAGCAGCGUCUUGGGACAAGGAUGAAGAGGUGGGUGGAAGAGAGCUGGGGCAGAUGGGUGCAUGUGUGUAGUGCCAAGAUGUGGCUGAACAAAACAUCAUACCUGCCGCCCCACAGCGUCGAGUCCCCAGAAGCCGGAGGGAGGACACGUGUUUUGGUGUGGGCUGGGAGGCGGGGAGGCCUGCCAGGCUGUAAGCGGAGCUUGUCCUGCUGCCCCUGGGGCAGGAAUCUGGCUCAAGACCAAAGGUUUCACCAUGUCUCAAAAGACCAAUGAAUACUUCCAAAUGGACUAAAGAAGCUGCAGCAGUGAGUCGUCUUCUCUAUUUCUCACUUUCUAUUUUCCUUUGUCUCUUUACUGCAAUCCCUCUUCGCCCCCCUUAAUUCACCCUCCAUUCGCAUCACAUGAUUCUGGGAGAUUGACAGCCUCCCCAAAGAGUGAGAGCUGGAACAGAUGGAAUAUGAAUGGUUCAGUCGUGUAUGAAAAAGGUGCCUGGCUGAAGGAAGCCAUGUAAGGGGACUCUCAAUUGCAAGUUAAGUAUGACUAAAUCCUAUACCCCCCACCCUUCUCCCUUUCACACACACACACACAUCCACCCACACGCCUUCAUACCCCAUUGGUUUGCCAAUACCUCCAGUACAUUUUUUAUCAAAUGAAAAGUAUACCUUUCAAGAGACAAUGACAACUGUCUUAUUGCAAAACAUUAGCCUCCUUUACGUUUUAGCGUUACUUAGAUUACAACAUGAUGCUAAAAAGAAUUUUGAAUUCCAAAAUAUUUCUGGACUUGCAUUUUGAGAUGAGCUUUUAUCUAAAUUCUUUUAUCUAAUAUAAAGCUGAAAGACAAAUGUGUGUAGCUUAAUCACGCAUGUAGAUUCAGUGUUUUAUCUGCUUCUUUUCUUAUGUUCUUCAGAAAAGAUGUGGAUGAGUUCGUCACACCUUCAAUGGCAAUCGAACAUACAGAACUUAAAAGUGACACAGGAUAGAAAAUGAGUAACACUGCUGCAUGAUGAACGGUGUCAUUGUCAUCAAGCUGUCUGUUUAUUGCCAUAAAAAUAUAACCACUUCCUGAGAGCGAUUUAUUUUUUUUUAGAAACAUUCAAAAUGAAUAAGAGAAAUCCAAGUCCAGAUUUUUGUUUAAAUUACACAAUUCUUUGGGCUAAAGUGUGACAAAUUCAUUUGAUCUGUUUUCAAACAUAAAUUUAACAAUAUUGCAUCUGUUUGUUGAGGUUUGUAACCUUCAUGAGGAGAAGAGGAGAUUUUUGAGAAAGUUUGCCAUGAUAUAUCCUAAGCUUUCACUGUUAAUCAUGUUGGUCUCAAAAAAAUUUGACAUUAACAUCUUUUCUCUUUUUUAUUUUGUCAAGACUUUAUGAUUAACUACUGAGGCUUAAAGUCCUGCUGUGCAGCUAUCCAACAAUUGUUACUGCCAUUUUUGUUUAUCUACAGCUUGACACCUUAAUAGUCUUCUUAUUGUCACUCACCACCGAACGUCUUCAGGAUUUAUAAUACUUUGCACUGGACAACUUUUAUUCUGAGUCUCUCCACUCUUCCUCCAGAUCUUGCAAUGGAUCUGGAUUUAAUAAAACGCAGAGGUUACUUUAAUCUGUCCGCAGAUUAAAGUCCCCACAAUGAAAAACUGUUUUACACCCCUACACUAAAGAAUUGAUUCCAUCUGCACUCCACGCAUUGUGAAGGUCCUCCAAACUCUUUGCUCCAUAGUUUUCUCACUGCUGGAUUCCCUGUUGCUUUUUCUAACACAAUUCUGCCUUCCGCUAAACUUUAUAUUUAUAUGCUUGGUUGGAGCACUCUGCAAACAACCAGCUUCCUUAGUAAAAACCUUUUGUGAUUUUUUCCCCUUUUGGAGGCUGCUAGUAGACAUCUGAUGGACAGCUGUCAAGUCAGCAUUCUUCCCCAUGAUUUUAUAGACUUUAACACGGCAACAUUUUAACAUUUCCAUGUUCAUUUUUUAAAUUGUUCAUCUGUUAUAUUUUCAUUUCUAAAGAGCUGAACUUUGGGUUUCUACUAGUUGUAAGCCAGGUCAUGAAAACUAAACAAAUUGCUAAUUUGAAUUAACUUUGAUAAUAUUCAAAUGUACAGCUGUUAACCUGUUAGGCUGAACGGUUUGUUUAUUUUAACGCCACAUUCACUGUUGUUUUUAUUCAAUUUUGUUCGCAAUUUUUCUGCAUGUGUUUUAUGUACGAGCCGUAAUGUUAUGUCAACAAGUGAAUGCAGAUUCUUUUUGGCACAGCACAUUGAAAUAUUUUAAUAAAUGUGCAUAAAGCAUAAGGAACCCUAAGAAACUAGCAAUUGCUACACAACUUUUACUCACCCCUUUAAUUUAUAGGGGUCAAAAUGAGAGCUCCAUAAUGUAAAAGUCUAAUUUGUUAUUUUACUGUUGAAUAAUCAAAAUGUGCUUGCAAAAUAAGUUGCCCCUUCUGAAAGACAGCUAACCUCACUUCUCUGUCUGUUCCAUGCAAAAAUGUGUCUCCUGUUUGUUUUAAGAUAUCAAACAGAAGCUGCUCCAUGACUCUGUUUCAAAGUUGCGCCAUCUCCUAAUCUCCCUGAUACGGAUCCAGGACCAUUUUCUCCUCUGUGCUGCCGUGGUCUGCAGCCUCUCUCCGCCGGCCUGAAAACAAACGGCCUAAGAAAAUAUCCGGGAUGAGAAGAAGGCAGAAGGAGGAAGAUGAGAGCCGUCUGUCGGCCACGCAGGGCCUGUUUUUGAAUUUCUGAUCAAAAGUUGCGGCGGAGACCACCGCCGAAUCCCGGCCUCCCAAACAUCUGCUGUCAUAUCAUUCUGAAUUAUUUAUUUGUUGAUCCUUCUGAAUGCAUGUAUCCGUCCUUUUUCCCCCCUCUUGAGUCCAUUUGAAAGAGUUUGCAUGUGUGCAUGCGGGCCGUCAUAUUCUUAGAAAAAUGAAACUCUUCAAUCAACAACAACAAAAUGAUCUGCUGGUUUGUGGAUUCCCCGCGAGCUCCAAAUGGAUUCAGAUGGAAAACACACACACCCAACUGCCAGCUGCACUUAUUCUAACAGCGGGCAGCGAUAUUUCUGCCAUAGACGUGGCAGAAACGCAGCUCUUAUUUUAGCUCCAACACAAUCACUAAGUGGCACAUCUCAUUAGAAUGAUUUAGGCAAAGUAAAAAUGAUAUUACGAUAAUUCCACAAAUGCUAUCAGCGGGUUCAUCCUCCCAAAUGAUCAUUUAAGUCCUGCUUGUAAUAGCAAUGAGACUGUUACUGGGGUUAUUCAUUUCAGACUGUGUUAAGCACAGCACGCGCUGCCAUUAGAGCGCAGUACCCGUACGUUUAUGUUCACUGAAAUGAGAUUCUGGGAGGAAAUAGAUGCACUGAUGAGCCUCUGUAGCUGCAGCUCUAAAUGAAAGAGACUCAAAAGUUUGAUGAGGACAAAGUUACAGCCAGUGUGUUGCUGUGGAGGUUUCCCACACAGACAGCAGCCAGCAUUGUGUGAUUGUGCUAAUUGGAUCAGACCUAUUGUUGCUUGUGGGCCAACACCUCUUUCUUUACCUUCUUUACAGCUGACUAACAGCAGCUUCUUUACAGAGGUGUUAAAACCUUUAACAAGUACUCUUUUUCUGACUCAGCUAGGUAUAUAGAGCAGAGGAUUUCAGAUAGCACACCCUAAUAAUUUAUGCAAUUCAUUUGAUUAUUUUUUUAUUAUUUGCCUUAUGUCAAGUAAAGGAUCGAAUGGGAAUAUAGCAAGUAAAACAUAUUGUUGAAACAUGAAAUUUGCAUAUGCUUUAGUAGAAAUCAAAACAUUAUUUUUAACUGGUUGACAUUACAUGGUCUGGUCUGUUCAGGUUAGUUUAGGAUUACACCAGAACAGAUUUAACCCAGUCAGGUUUGCAGACUGCCUUUCACAUAUGUAUCUGACUGAACAUUUCUCUGGGAUUUAAAAUAUGGUUUUCUGACGAAGAUUCCAGCAUAUUGACUUUAUUGUCUGUAAACCACUCUAUAACUUCUUUGGUUAUAUGCUUAGUGUCACUGUCUCAUUGUAAGAAUCAUUUAUGCCCAAGCUUUAACUUCCUGGCUGAAAUCCAAUAAUAAAACAUAAUGAUUUUCUCCA